ACAAUCCUGAGAAGGACUGUUUUUGUUGUUGACUGAUGUUUCGGCAACCUUAGCAGUAGUCGUCUUCAGACUCAUAUGAGGAGUAAACAUCAGAUUUGUUGAGAAAAGUAGAGUUGCCAUAUUGAAUAAUUCCGACGAGCUCACGAUCGGAAAUUAUCGUCGUGACGUCCAAAUUCUUUCUCAAACACGAGAUAAUUUUCCCGCGUCGUUCAAGUUAAAAUGGGAACUUCUUCACAUCAUCUCUGCAAAGAAACGACGAUUUCAGGGUUGAAAUAUAUGUCGUUUGUGUCUCAUUUCAUUUUAAAUACGGUUCUACUACUUAACGUACCAAAACGUUUCUGUUUAGUUGUUCCCUUAAAGCAAGCCGAAAAGCUGAAUUCGGAAGCCGACAAAGAGGGUAUGCGUUUGACAAAGACGAAAGCAAGAGACGGGGCGUUGCAGAUUUGUAAAAACUUCAUUAAAGAUGAAAGUCUCAGAAGCAUCUUACCAAGCGAAACGAGCAGGUCGAACAUUUGUCUUGGACAUUUCAUUUGUGUGGUGGACUUAUCGAUAGAUUAAAAAGGCUUCAUCAAGGAAAAUUUCAAAUCAUUGAUAAAGAAUGCUAAUGCAUCAGAGUAGCAAGACUUUGACAACAUGAUAUUGGCCAUGGACCGUUCUCUCAUUUCUUUGAGCCCACCAAAGAUGCAACAAAUUUCGAUUUCAAUGAGUCAAACUGCAAUAAGAGAUGAAGACAAGAAAGAGCGACAAGCAGCUUUGGCUGAAAACCAUGAAAGAUAGGCAAGGUCACAAUUCGUUUGUUGAAGUUUGCUGAAGAAGCCAUUGUCAAUGAAGUUGAAAGCGAUGUGUGGAAGAUUUUCUCCGACAUUUCCACCAGCUGCUGGUUCAGUUCAAGGACAAAUACUCUUCAGCAAGGAGCCGCAAGUCUCUCAUCAAUGUUCAUUCAAUUGCUUCAGGGCAGUAGAAUCAUCGCGAUUAUUUGAAUAGAUUUAUAGAGUAAUAACAUGUACUUUUAAAGAAGAAAUUCUCGUUGUAGUUUUGUCACCGCCACAAACGAAGAACAAUGUUUACGAAGCUCAAAGCCACAUGUUUUUGAUGAAGCAGCCAUUGGCAAUGAACUUUUAACAUGCAAUUGGCAUAGAAGAAAGCGAUCCGUUUUGAAAGUGUUGCUGUUUUCAAAAUUAUUAUUAAUGUUGGCCUGAUGAGAUGAAGACAAGAAAGAGCAACACGCAGCUUUGGCUGAAGAACAUGAAAAGUAAAUUUAAAUAGAAUGUGAGAAUCAAUUCGUUCGUUGAAGUUUGGUGAAGAAGCCAUUAUCGAUGAAGUUCAAAGCGAUGUUUUUCUUCAAUCAAAUGUAGCAGAUAUAAGCUAGCGUCAGGAAUACGUUUAAAAAAGAUCCAACAUGGAUGUAGUAGAUAGAGUUGUGAAAGUCCCUUUGCCACCUGUGUCCUUUGCUUCAAUUACUCUCACUAGUUUUUCAUUACGAAUGUGUCAUGGUGAUUCAUGGCCAAGAUUGUUUAUGUGUAGUUUUGAUUCAUUCUUGAUGUCAGUUGUUUGUUCAUAUAAUGAUGAUGGGCCCCAUUGUUGUAUGAGCCCACCUAACGGUGGUCAGCUGAUAAUCAAAGAUGAUCAACUCUGCACUAAGCCAUCUUUAAGUGAUGAUAUAACUGGGGUAUUGAAGUCCCUUUUCCUUUCCUCGAAGUUGUGUAUAUAAUAUAUCUGCUUUCAAGUUCAUAUCAACUUAAACUGCACUCAUAUCAUGAUAAAAAUAUAUGGAUAUUAGUAGAUAUUGUCUAUAGUUGAUUCAUUAUUUGUGUUAUUAAUUAUAUUAUCAAUCAUAUUAUUAAUUAUAUUAUUAAUUAUAUUAUUAAUUAUAUUAUUUCUUUGAAAGUAUUGUAUUGAAUGUGUAAUUAGUUUUGAUUAUUCGACACAAGUAACAUUGAAUUGCUUCUUUGAUCUUCAUAUUAUGUACUUAUGAUUGAUAAGCCAUUUAUUAUGAUUGUAAAUUGUACAAUAAAUGAAUAGAUUCUACUUUGGACAAA